AGUGAACGCUGGCGGUAGGCCUAACACAUGCAAGUCGAACGGCAGCACAGUAAGAGCUUGCUCUUACGGGUGGCGAGUGGCGGACGUGUGAGGAAUACAUCGGAAUCUACUUUUUCGUGGGGGAUAACGUAGGGAAACUUACGCUAAUACCGCAUACGACCUACGGGUGAAAGCAGGGGAUCUUCUGACCUUGCGCGAUUGAAUGAGCCGAUGUCGGAUUAGCUAGUUGGCGGGUUAAAGGCCCACCAAGGCGCGGAUCCGUAGCUGGUCUGAGAGGAUAAUAGGCCGCCUGGGAACGGAGACACCGUCCAUACGCCUACGGGAGGCAGCAGUCGGGAAUAUUAGACAAUGGGCGCAAGCAUGGUCCAGCCAUACCGAGUGGGUGAAGAAGGCCUUCGGGUUGUAAAGCCCUUUUGUUGGGAAAGAAAAGCAGCAGGUUAAUACCCCGCUGUUCUGACGGUACCCAAAGAAUAAGCACCGGCUAACUUCGUG
rnacentral:rRNA from 1 species